rnacentral:misc_RNA from 1 species
CAUACAUCUGCGCACGCUCGGUUGUAGCGGCGCAGAGAUCCUUCGCGUCUGGCCGGUGCGCGAAGCUGCACUGCCUCUCUGCGCCUGCCUUUGGGUUCGUGAGGAGGCUCUUACUCACGCCCAGCCACCUGUGCAACCGCUGACACACAUCCAGUCUCUCCACGUAUCUGUGCAAGCAAGGCGACUUCAAGGUAGCGGCGUCUCUUGCGAGCACGCCACACACGCUUUACAGCAAGUGCUAGCGAGAUUGGGCUUCAGUUCCGCACUCCUCCUUGUCUCGCUCAUCGGCCUCAGCCGAGCUGUGCAUUCGAGGCGCAGCGGGAGCGCCUUUAUAUAGGUGGCGUGGCUAGUGGCUAAGGUGCUGAGAUGCGGCUGUGUCUCGCAGCAUCCAUGAGUGGAAUGUGCGAUGGCCGCAGAGCGCUGAAGCACGCGCUCCGGCUCUCUUCAAGGUUGUCUUCGGCGGCUGCGAGCAGCGCCGGCACCGACGGUGCAACCUCGGCUGGUUGUGCUGCUGCUGCUGCUGCUGCCUCGGGCUUGUCAUCUCGCAGUGCCAUAGAGCGAGUGUACCGAAACGCGUCGAAGACGCGGGACCCGUUCUUGCGCGACGGCACAGUGUCGAGCCGAUUCUUCCGCUCGUACCGCACCCAACUGCCGUUCCCGGCCCGCAUGUUUGGCAUCUUUCUCGUAGGCUUUUCCCUCGGACUCGUACUCGAAGUGUUCGCGUGCAAGACGCACUUGUACGAGAGCGUGAUGAUGAAGAAGGACGCGCGGCGGCACGAGUUCGACGAAUUCGUUGUUGACUUUCGCCAAAACGUGGAGCGGUGGCAGCGGGAGGACAUGGGCAAGCGGCAGUCACUGUAGGCCACACAAGAGGGAGGAGCGGGCGGGGGGAGGGCUUCAGUAAGCGGAGGGCUGUAGGCGGUCUCCCUCUGUCUCUGUCUGUAACUCUCUCUCUAUGGCGCGGCAUGCCUUGUGCUACGUGUGCACAUGCGUGCUUGCCUUUCUUUUUUUUGUCGUGCGUGCACACCGAGCCCUCCCGACCGUCGGCACCUCCUCCCUCAUCAUCUUCUUCGCACACGCGCAGAUUGUGCCAUCUGAAAGACGCACCGAAUAGCUUGAGGUGCUGUGGGGAAGAGGGAGGGUGGUGGCGGUGAUGGCCGUGAUGUGUGUGUUGUCUGUGUUUUUUUUUUUUUGGCAAUGCAAGAGAAGCCGAGAGGCAGUGAGCUUGCACAGAUCGACAGGGAAGGGUGAUGGUGGUGGUGCUGGACUAAGAAAGAGCUAACGGGCAAGAAGCGAAAAACCAAAAAGUACACACACACACGCACACGCACAUGGAGACGUGGUGAUGCGCGGCGCGAGUCUCCUGCUGCGCAGGCAUUUAAGGUUCUCGGUGCUGCCUCUCUCUGCCGCCGUCGUAGCGGGCUCUCCCUCCCACCGCUCUCGAUGCCUGUAUGCAUGGCGCGCACGCAUUACCCGACGAUGGUGUCGUCGGGCGGGUUUCUGAGCGCUGAUGUGGUUUGGCACCAAAAUCAACGUAAAGCCCCCCU